GAACACAGGCUGUUAUUCUGUCCCUUGUCAUCAGUGUCACGGGCAGACACGAGCCAACCACACCGCUCAGGACUGGCACCACAGGAACAGGCUCCUGCGUGCUGGGGGACCCUCCUCUCCAUCGUACGGAUCAAUGAAAGAGCAGGCUUUACCAGGGGUUUGAAUUAAAUCCAUCCAAACGAAGACUUGAUAUUCAAGGCUGCCCCUCAGGAAAGAGGGGUUUUGCAUUCAUUAAUAUUGCCUUGGGAUGAAGGAAGGAGCAGGGGAGCCCUGAUUGACCUUGGACAUUUAUAAAGGUUUAAACAAAUAGACCCAAUCCAGCACAGACCUGGCCCAGCGACUGCGCUCCUUAAAGUGCCGUGAAACGCAGGCUUGGAGAAACCUGUGACCUGACCUGCGAACUCAGGGAGGAACCACAGGUGAUGUCGUACACAGUCUGUUUACAACCUCGGGGCUAGUGAAAAUGAAACCGAACUAGGAGAACGCAGCCCAUUGACCAGACCCAGACCUGCCAACGCUGCCUCCUUUAAUCUGCUAACUAAACAAUACGACACAUGGCAGCACAACGGUGAGGAUGUGGUUUCACAGCCUGCUGAGAAUGCCCAUCUUUGGUUAAAAAGAAAAAGGAAUAUUUUAUCUGAUUUACAUAUUGCACAUUAAAUAAGCCCUGCAAGGUACCAUGCUUCAAAACAGACUUAUUUUUUAAGAAAUGUAGAUUAAUAAUCCUCCUUGCUUAAAAAAUGAGCUUCAAUAUUUGUGCGAAUCGUAGAGUGAAAAAAAUCAAUGUGCUAUCGACUGCUGGGGAUGAUCACAUUCAUUCUGCCCUUUGUGGUUGGUGAAAUCCAUGCUGCAAUUACAGAGACAGGCUGGCAGCAAAGAGCCUCAGUUGGGCUUUCAGCUCCACAUUAAUCCAAAACUCACCAUUUUAAUGCAGAUAUAGAUUGCCACGAGUCAAUAGCUGACUCCUUGAAUUGUGAAGUAGCAGCUCCAUGCUGUAUUGGCAGCACUGGCUGUUACAGUAUCUUCCAGUAUUUUGAAAUUUCCAAGUGUUACUCCACGAAGCGAGGAGCGUAACCCACUCCACGUCGGAAGGGACUGCAGCGUUCGUGCUAUUGCCAUAAACGGGACACACUGGAUUACAGACAGAAUACUGCGAAUAACCUUGCAGUAGAUCAAAAGUAGACUUUUCAUGGGAUAAAAUGCUUAUGUACCUUAGCUCAUGUUUUAAUGCCCUAAUGCAUUAUCUCAUAAAGUAACCCAAGUGUUGAAUUUUUAUAAUAGAGCUCCCAAUUCUCUCCCGCUUUCACUGUUCCAUGACUUCACCCCAUUCAGAACUAUCAUUCUGCAUUUAUAACGUGGCAAGUGAGGUCAGAACUACGCUUUGACUUGCAAUUUCCUGGUCAGCAAUCCAUCUGGAACUAAGAACUGAAUUCUGCCACUAAAUUUGGGUGAAGAGUUGGGGCAUCUACUAGGCGGUCAGCACCUCUUUUAGGUGCAGUGUGAACCUGGAACUCUAUUUGAUGCACAGUAACUAUAUUCUUGUAUACCUCCAUGACACUGAGCUCUUUGUACCCCGUUCUCACGGUGACGUGCACUAACAGGUCCACACGCAGUGUUACAGCUGUCACUUGUGCUGUGCCACGCAGACCCAACCCCAAACCUACUGUGCUCUGUGGAAAUGCUGCCAUUGACUUUCCUGCACUAUGCACGUGUGACUGCACACACCUUCACAGCACAGGCGAACACCCAACAGCCGUGCUGUGCUGCGCUGUGCCAUGCUGUGCCGUGCCGUGCCAUGCCUUGCCAUGCUGUGUCAUGCCGUGCUGUGCCAUGCCGCAUGCCGUGCCAUGCUGUGACAUGCUGUG